GACGAACGCUGGCGGCGUGCUUAACACAUGCAAGUCGAACGGAAAGGCCCUGCCUUUGUGGGGUGCUCGAGUGGCGAACGGGUGAGUAACACGUGAGUAACCUGCCCUUGACUUUGGGAUAACUUCAGGAAACUGGGGCUAAUACCGGAUAGGAGCUCCUGCUGCAUGGUGGGGGUUGGAAAGUUUCGGCGGUUGGGGAUGGACUCGCGGCUUAUCAGCUUGUUGGUGGGGUAGUGGCUUACCAAGGCUUUGACGGGUAGCCGGCCUGAGAGGGUGACCGGCCACAUUGGGACUGAGAUACGGCCCAGACUCCUACGGGAGGCAGCAGUGGGGAAUAUUGCACAAUGGGCGGAAGCCUGAUGCAGUAACGCCGCGUGCGGGAUGACGGCCUUCGGGUUGUAAACCGCUUUCGCCUGUGACGAAGCGUGAGUGACGGUAAUGGGUAAAGAAGCACCGGCUAACUACGUG
rnacentral:rRNA from 1 species